GCUGAGGGACAGCCCCGCGGUUGUGGGUGUCCCGCGGCGCCGGAAACUGGGCGCACACACCCUCGGAUUGACGUGCGCACGCGCACCGGUUACCUUCAGGAGCGCCGAAGAAGGAAAGAAGAUGGAGUUGAGCUCUGUCGCCCAGGCUGGAGUGCAGUGGCACCAUCUCAGCUGACUGUGACCUCCGCCUCCUGGGUUCAAGUGAUUCUCCUGCAUCAGCCUCCCGAGUAGCUGGGACUACAGGUGCACACCACCAUGCCCGGCUAAUUUUUGUAUUUUUAGUAGAGACGGGGUUUUGCCAUGAUGGCCAGGUUUGGUCUCAAACUCCUAACCUCAAGUGAUCCACCCUCCUCAGCCUCCCAAAGUGCUGGGAUUACAGGCGUGAGCCACUGCGCCCCGCCUACUUGAAUUUUUUUUUUUUUUUUUUUUUUUGAGACAGAGUUUUGCUCCUGUUGCCCAGGCUGGAGUGCAACGGCAUGAUCUCGACUCACUGCAACCUCUGCCUCCUGGGUUCAAGUGAUUCUCCUGCCUCAGCCUCCCAAAUAGCUGGGAUUACAGGUGCCCACCACUGUGCCUGGCUGAUUGUAUUUUUAGUAGAGAUGGGGUUUCAUCAUGUUGGUCAGGCUGGUCUUGAACUCCAGACCUCAGGUGAUCGGACUGCCUCGGCCUCCCAAAGUGCUGGGAUUACAGGCAUGACCCACUGUGCCCGGACCUGCUUGAAUUUUUAUGAUGAGCAUGUUGGCAGAUCACGACUGCCAGCUCCGUGACAGCAAGAACCUUGUAUGACUUUUUCAUGAUGGAUGUUCAUCUGUGCCAUCUGUAAAUAUUGAAUAAAUAUUUGUGGAAUACAUGAAUCUAAAAGUGAAUGGAAUGAUAAAGAGGGAAAGGGUCAUGACAUCUACUACAGCAUUUGGCACAGACCCAGCUGUCUGCAGUACUAUCAAGAGAUGACAUGGACUUCAAGGAUCAAACAGGGGAGAAAAAGGCUUAAAAGAAAAACAAGUCUCCAUCAAAGGUAAUAACCACAAUGAGAACUAUACAUAGCUAUGUGCUUAUAGGUCUUAGUUCACAUUCCCCUCAUUAAAAUUAUAGCUCAAGAAAUAAAGGGCUGUUUAAUGACUUGGGUAUAUAAAUAUACUUCAUUUGUAUAUUUUUUACUUGCUAAAAUCUAUCCAAAUUGGUAUUACCUCAAACCAUAAUCUUCUACUGUAUUUUAUAAUUUUACUUUAUUGCCAUGUAUUUUUCCCACUGAUGUUCACAAAUUCACAGGAAACAUCAGCCAUGUACUAAAUAAAAUAUGAAUUGAAUCGACAAAUAGAACUAUAAAUUUAAUUCAAGCACAUGUAAAAUUUAGACCAAAGAAUAAAAAUGUCUAUUAAAAAUACAGCCAAGCAUGGUGGCUCACACCUGUAAUCCCAGCACUUUGGGAGGCCGAGGUGGGUGAAUCAUCUGAGGUCAAGAGUUUGAGACCAGCUGGCCAUUGUGGUGAAACCCCAUCUCUACUAAAAUACAAAAAUUAGCUGGGUGUGAUGGUGGGCACCUGUAAUCCCACUACUUGGGAGGCUGAGGCAGGAGAAUCGCUUGAACCCAGGA
rnacentral:lncRNA from 10 species